rnacentral:rRNA from 1 species
AAUGAACGCUGGCGGCAGGCUUAACACAUGCAAGUCGAGCGAGCGGCGGACGGGUGAGUAAUGUCUGGGAAACUGCUUGAUGGAGGGGGAUAACUACUGGAAACGGUAGCUAAUACCGCAUACCAUCAGAUGUGCCCAGAUGGGAUUGGCUAGUAGGUGGGGUAAUGGCUCACCUAGGCGACGAUCCCUAGCUGGUCUGAGAGGAUGACCGGCAAACCUCAAACUGAGACACGGUCCAGACUCCCACGGGAGGGAGCAGGGGGUAAUAUUGCACAAUGGGUGGAAGCCUGAGGCAACCAUGCCGGGUGUGUGAAGAAGGCCUUCGGGUUGUAUAGCACUUUCAGCGAGGAGUCGUUACUCGCAGAAGAAGCACCGGCUAACUCCGUGCCAGCAGCCGCGUAAUUC